GGCGAGUUUCUAAACCCAAGGAAGCUCCCAUGAACUCUGUGAGGUUCCCCUAGAUCCAGCAAGAGCCCAACGGGCUGACAGCUGCUCUCACCAGCGGCAGGGAUUUAUGUGCCACAUUUCAAAGGACAUGCAUUUUAAGGAUUUCUUGCUGUGUGAGAAACCAUUGGGGCAAAAUGGAGUAGAAGAAAAGUACACCUGAUUGUAAUUAAUGCUGACAGUAAUCUCCAGCUUUCAUUCUGAAAACAGCCAGAUGGGAAAGUUGGAACUGUUAAUAAUAGAAAACGUUGCCAUCCGCAGUUCCUGGAGUCAUAACUCUUUAAAGGCUGUUUGGAUUCCAGAUCUCUACAGACCAGCCCAAGCCAGAUGCUCCUCAGACUCUGCACUGCCAUGGGCCAUGAUCUGGCUGGUCUGGCUGACAGAAGGGAGCAAGCCCACCACCCUGAGGCAGGAGGGCAGGGCCCGUGGUACAAAUGUGCUGAGCAAGUUGUGAUGAGAAAUGAACACAAGUGUAACAAACAGGAAGGAUUUUAAAGAUUUCUCUACCAUGCAGACUCUGUUAACCGUUGCCAUCAAUCAACCCAGAGAGCAGAGAUACACGGCCUUUUGUCCACAGCUGCAAUUCCCAGAAUGUGUUCCUCAGAAUCCUGAUCAUGUGUGAUGGCCCUUGAAAACUGUUCCACACUGAAAUAAAUUUUAGAAAUGCUGCGGAGUUUUUCAUUCUUCUCCUAAAGAUGAGCAGGGCAUAUUCGCUUAUGAACUGCCCUGAGAAGUCCUGUAGAAAAGAAAUAUUUCCCCAAAACUUAUUUGGUCUCGGGACACUUUUCCCUUUUGCAAGCACUUGUUAAUGUUUCACAGAACGACUGUUCCCCAGGACACUGUUGGGAAGCACUGGUAUGGGAAGAUGAUGUCAUAGCUCAUCUAGCUAUGAUGGUUUAAGAAGGUACCUUGGAAAGGGAAGUCACUCUCUACUUGGUAUGUCAUUCUCCACAGGCCUGGUCAAAUGUGGCCCAGUAGAGGGCAAGGUGCUGGGAAGUAGGAGGCUGGGAGGAUGCACUCGUAUUUUAGGAUGGGAAGAAGGACCAGGAGAGAGCUUCCUAGAGUCUUCUCUCCCAGAAGCAGCAGCCAUAAGGUCAUCUUUCUCUGUGAGG
rnacentral:lncRNA from 1 species